rnacentral:misc_RNA from 1 species
UUUCCGUAGGUGAACCUGCGGAAGGAUCAUUAAUGAGUCUUUGAAGUGGGUUUGAUGCUGGCCUUCCGAGGCAUGUGCUUGCCCUACUCUCAUCCACUCACACCUGUGCACCUUAACGUCGAAAAUUUGACCAGUCCCCCUCUUGGGUUGUAGGCUAGGGAGACCUAGUUGGUGGUUGCUUCUUUGCGUUUACCUCUAAACAAACUCUGAUUGUAAUAGAAUGUUAAUUGGCCUACGGGCUCUAAUGUUAAUACAACUUUCAACAACGGAUCUCUUGGCUCUC